GUAAAGCUAACGUUUAAUAAGUUGCACUUCCUUCCUCACGUGCUUCGUUCCAGAUUCAAGCCUCUGUUGCGAAUAAAGAAGUUCGAUUGGACGAAGGUUACCUCAGGCAUACUACAGACGUUGAUGAAGAAACUUUCUAAUAGUUGUACCGGCAGCCCAAUGUGUCCACAUUUUACUAGGAAAGCUGUACAACUAGAAGCGAUUUCUCAAAGAAACCUAUCACCAAAGCUCAAGACCUGGAUAUGUGAUUUAUUACGCCCACAGGCAAUGCUUACAGCAGGUUGAUUGUACACGGUUGCCUGUCAGAGAAAAAUAAUGAAUGGAGACAGUAAAGGCGUAUGUCUAUAAUUGUUCCUUGUUCUACCUAUGAAACCUGUUAUUUGUAGCAAUAUAUCAGUUAUAUAUAUAUAUAUGUAUACGUACGUAUAUAUAAACAGGUCUAAUUUGAUAGAAUGAAUGAGGAAAGAAGAGGACGUGGUUAAAUACAAAUACGACCGGGGUGUAGCAAACUUAAAUAUAUAUAAAAAAUCAAUUAUUUAACAAAGUCCACAUAUUUCCUUAUCAUACUGUAUCUGGGAAUAUACUUUCCAUGCUAGAUGACAUAUGAAGUUUGGUUUUCUUGUUGUACUCAGUUUCAAGUUUAUCUGAUAUUUAACUCGCGUGUCUUAAACAAGUAAUAUAUUAAAUACGAAACUAAUAUUCUUACAAUCAUUAUUUGGAUACUGUUGCAAGAUUUGCUCAAAUAACUAAAAGAGAACAGAUUUUAGAAGAAGUUUAUUACAAAGAACAUAAUUAUAUAAGUUGCAUUAUU